UACGAAGGGGGCAAGCGUUGUUCGGAAUGACUGGGCGUAAAGGGCGCGUAGGCGGGAUGGCAAGUCGGUCGUGAAAUCCUUCGGCUCAACCGAAGAACGUCGGCCGAUACUGCCGUUCUUGAGGGAUGCAGAGGAGAUUGGAAUUCCCGGUGUAGCGGUGAAAUGUGUAGAGAUCGGGAGGAACACCGGUGGCGAAGGCGGGUCUCUGGGCAUCUCCUGACGCUGAGGCGCGAAAGCGUGGGGAGCAAACGGG
rnacentral:rRNA from 1 species